rnacentral:rRNA from 1 species
UACGGAGGGGGCUAGCGUUGUUCGGAAUUACUGGGCGUAAAGCGCGCGUAGGCGGCUUGGCAAGUCGGGUGUGAAACCUCCAGGCUCAACCUGGAGACGCCACUCGAUACUGCCAUGGCUAGAGUCCGGUAGGGGACCACGGAAUUCCUGGUGUAGCGGUGAAAUGCGCAGAUAUCAGGAGGAACACCGGUGGCGAAGGCGGUGGUCUGGGCCGGCAUCUGACACUGAGAAACGAAAGCCAGGGGAGCAAACGGG